rnacentral:lncRNA from 1 species
AUGUCACAUCCUCUCUCUCUCUCUCUCUCUCUCUCUCUCUCUCUCUCUCUCUAUUAUUUCAACUUAAUUCGAAGAAAGGCCGAUGAGCAGCACUAGCUUUGAUUCUUGCACUUGUCAUUCCCGAAGCUACAGCAAGGAAAAAUAAAAAGCUUUGCGGUGAAAGCAAAAUCUUUUCAAAAGGAAAAGAACAAAGAGAUCCAGUGAUCCACAUCUGGAAGUCACCAUCUUUAUAUGUACAUGCCUCAAAUCAUGGGACAAAACUUGUAAGUUAAGAAUAUCAUAGGACAUAACUUGCAGGAAG